UACGGGGGGGGGGCAAGCGUUGUUCGGAAUUACUGGGGCGGUAAAGGGCUCGUAGGCGGCCAACUAAGUCCGACGUGAAAUCCCAAGGCUUAACCUUGGAACUGCGUCGGAUACUGGAUGGCUUGAAUUCGGGAGAGGGAUGCAGAAUUCCAGGUGUAGCGGUGAAAUGCGUAGAUAUCUGGAGGAAUACCGGUGGCGAAGGCGGCAUCCUGGACCGACAUUGACGCUGAUGAGCGAAAGCUAGGGGAGCAAACGGG
rnacentral:rRNA from 1 species